rnacentral:rRNA from 1 species
UGGGGAAUAUUGGACAAUGGGCGAAAGCCUGAUCCAGCCAUGCCGCGUGUGUGAAGAAGGCCUUUUGGUUGUAAAGCACUUUAAGCGAGGAGGAGGCUACUUAGAUUAAUACUCUAGGAUAGUGGACGUUACUCGCAGAAUAAGCACCGGCUAACUCUGUGCCAGCAGCCGCGGUAAUACAGAGGGUGCGAGCGUUAAUCGGAUUUACUGGGCGUAAAGCGUGCGUAGGCGGCUUUUUAAGUCGGAUGUGAAAUCCCUGAGCUUAACUUAGGAAUUGCAUUCGAUACUGGGAAGCUAGAGUAUGGGAGAGGAUGGUAGAAUUCCAGGUGUAGCGGUGAAAUGCGUAGAGAUCUGGAGGAAUACCGAUGGCGAAGGCAGCCAUCUGGCCUAAUACUGACGCUGAGGUACGAAAGCACGGGGAGCAAACAGG